rnacentral:rRNA from 1 species
UACGAAGGGGGCUAGCGUUGCUCGGAAUCACUGGGCGUAAAGGGCGCGUAGGCGGACUUUUAAGUCGGAGGUGAAAGCCCAGGGCUCAACCCUGGAAUUGCCUUCGAUACUGGGAGUCUUGAGUUCGGAAGAGGUUGGUGGAACUGCGAGUGUAGAGGUGAAAUUCGUAGAUAUUCGCAAGAACACCGGUGGCGAAGGCGGCCAACUGGUCCGAAACUGACGCUGAGGCGCGAAAGCGUGGGGAGCAAAC